rnacentral:rRNA from 1 species
AAAAAGCUCGUAGUCGGAUUUUGGCUGAGAACGGUCGGUCCGCCGUUAGGUGUGCACUGACUGGUCUCAGCUUCCUGGUGAGGAGGUGUGCUUCAUCGCCACUUAGUCACCGUGGUUACUUUGAAAAAAUUAGAGUGUUCAAAGCGGGCUUACGCUUGAAUAUAUUAGCAUGGAAUAACACCAUAGGACUCCUGUCCUAUUUCGUUGGUCUCGGGACGGGAGUAAUGAUUAAGAGGAACAGUUGGGGGCAUUCGUAUUUCAUUGUCAGAGGUGAAAUUCUUGGAUUUAUGAAAGACGAACUUCUGCGAAAGCAUUUGCCAAGGAUGUUUUCAUUGAUCAAGAACGAAAGGUGGGGGCUCGAAGAUGAUUAGAUACCAUCCUAGUCUCAACCGUAAACGAUGCCGACUAGGGAUUGGCGGAUGUUAAUUGAUGACUUCGCCAGCACCUUAU